GCUGCAUAGCCUGGUGUAAUAGGAUAAGUUCUGGGGACUUGAAAUUUGCAGUGCAGGGUGUAGUUGGACUCUAGAUGGUAUUCCUAGAUUGGCAUAAGGUGUUUGCAGCUGUUAAGUUAUCUUGCAACCAUUUGACUUUUGUCCUAACUCUCUUUCAGAUGCAGGUGGAUUAAAUCUGUGGCAGAGCCCCCCCAGUCCCUGGAGAGGGGGUUCCCCUGAGCAGGCAUUAAAUCUGGAUCUCUGCAGUCAAGGCAAUCCACUCGGAGUAUGCCAAGCCCCCGUCACCAACCAGCCGAUGGACCGGG